CCCGCUGAACUUAAGCAUAUCAAUAAGCGGAGGAAAAGAAACCAACAGGGAUUACCCUAGUAACGGCGAGUGAAGCGGUAACAGCUCAAAUUUGAAAUCUGGCCUUUAUGGGUCCGAGUUGUAAUUUGUAGAGGAAGUUUCGGGCAAGGCUGCGGUUUAAGUUUCUUGGAACAGAACGUCAUAGAGGGUGAGAAUCCCGUCUAGAACCGAUGGCCGCGUCCAUGUGAAACCCCUUCGACGAGUCGAGUUGUUUGGGAAUGCAGCUCAAAAUGGGUGGUAAAUUUCAUCUAAAGCUAAAUAUUGGCCAGAGACCGAUAGCGCACAAGUAGAGUGAUCGAAAGAUGAAAAGCACUUUGAAAAGAGAGUUAAACAGUAUGUGAAAUUGUUGAAAGGGAAGCGCUUGCAACUAGACUUGUGUAUCGUGGUUCCCCCGUUCUUCUGACCGGGUUACUCCAUGAUAUCCAGGCCAGCAUCGGUUCGGGUGGUUGGUUAAAGGGCCUGGGAAUGUAUCUACCUUCGGGUCGACUUAUAGCCCAGGGCGUAAUGCAGCCUACCUGGACCGAGGAACGCGCAUCUGCUCGGAUGCUGGCGUAAUGGUUGUAAGCGGCCCGUCUUGAAACACGG
rnacentral:rRNA from 1 species